CGCCUCGGUGAUCGCGGGUCGGCCGGAGAAGAUGGGGAGUUCCGGAGCGCGGGUCCGGCGGGACGGACUUGGGGCCGUGGCCCACUCGGCUCCUAAGCCUGCCGCAGGGGUCACCGCAUCACCCGGCGGCGGCCCCUUUAUGCGCUGCCGCCCGAGCCGCCGCCGCCGCCACCGCGGUAGCUGCCUCUUCCUUCUAGGCUCAGCGCCGCCUCCUCAGCCGCCGCGGAUCCCUCCGCCAGGGAGCAAGAGCCCAGGCCUCGGGCUCGGCCGGCGCCUCUGGGUCGGACGGUCAGAGGGACUGCUUGCUGCAGGUGGACCGAUGGACGCGCGGGCGGGCGGCGCCGCCGGGGUGGGGCAGGCGGAGCGCGGGGUGGGCCCAGGCCGAGGGGCAGGUCGGGAGAGCGGGGAUUGGCGGGCCGGGGAGGGAGGGCUGGGCCGCGCCGGCGGCGGAGGGAUACGGGCCGCCCCUGUGAGUACCUUACGUGCUGUCGCCGUCGCCGCCACGGCCGCCGAGACGAUGACGCCGCGAAGCGCAAGGAGGAGAUCUCGCGAGACCUGUGAUCACUCGACCAUCCCCAGAGCAUAGACGGACCCGAGAAGAGCACUUAGGUCCAUUGCAAUGUUCCUGAAGGAGGAAGGGACUUGUCCAAGGUCACACGGCUCCACAGUGGCAAAGCUGGGACUUCUCUUAAGUCGAGAGGUUCGUCAAAUCCCUCUCUGGAAGCCGCGUGGCAACAGCCUGGGCACCUGCGGGAAUGUGGUUGUACACGCACGCCGCAGGCAGCCCUGAGAUGGUGUUUCCGACGAAGGCCCCAGCUGAGAGACAGUUUGAAUGUCUCAGCCACUGGCACGUCAGGAGAAGUGCUCUGCUUGGGACCUUGAAGAUCAUCGAUUAACAGAGGAGAAACUGGAGCCCCUAAGGAAAAGGAUCUUGCCAAAAGUCACACAAUAGAUCAUCAGCAAAACUUGUACUGCCUCAUCUACUGAGUAGAGGCUGGACCCAUAGGGCAGGGCCACCAUGGACCCAGUGAGUCAAAGGAGGGAAAAGCUGUGUCCAGUCACCCAAGAUGCAUAGGUUUUAGGUUGAAGGUGAAGAGGAAGAGUCCGAAGUCCUAAAUCUUUUCUUCCUGAGAACUGUGAUGGGAGAGGUACAAAAAUGCCCAUUGGUCAGAUUUUUAAAAAUUUUUCUUCAG